UACCAGCGCGCACUCUUCGCCUCUCACCCCUCGCAUCGUCUUUCUGUCUCGCAGCCUCUGCUGUUCUCCGCCUCGAUGUCUCCAGCUCUCCACCAUCGGCGUCUCCAGCUCUCUGACCUUGGCGCUCUCAUCGGCUCUCUCUGUCUUGCAGCCUCUCCGUUUCCGGUUCUCCGCCCUCGGCGUCUCCGACUCCAUGCCCUCAGCGCUUUCAUGCUCGAAGGUGCUGGUAGAAAGGCCCAGUCAACCUAGUAGAAGUGGUAGAAGAGGGUUAAGGAAUUCCAAAGUCGUUUCUGCCCCUACCAGAGAGCUUUAUUGUCAGAUACAUGAAGAGGCUAGGAAGUUUUCUUUUGAGACAGGAUUAAAAAUAGUGGUUGCAUAUGGAGGGGCAUCAAUACUUCCAUAGGUGGAAUCAGCAAAUGUCGAUGGGCAUGCUAAAAUUGGGUCAAGUGAAAAUGCUCAGUAGAUGUCACAUUCUCAACCUGGUACAGUGGGACAGAACCAACCAAAGGGAGCUGAUGUUCAAUUCCUUGCUAAGCUGACUCGUGUUCUUGAAAAAAAGGUUUAUAGAUUUUUAUGUGUCCAUCUGCUGCAUAUGAUAAUGACUAUUCUUGGUGUUUGUUAUGCUUUCUAUAGUUGAAGAAUGCAUAAUAUAAGUUCACAUAUAUUUGAGAUAUAAAGAAAGUGAGGAAAUAUCCUAUUAGAAUAUAACAAUAACUCUUUAGUACAAUUAGAAAAUUAGAUGCCUGCCAAGGACCUUGUAGUCCAGUGGCAUCAAACCCUUCCCCAUACUAUAUUGUAAUAGAGUUAGUAGUAUUCAAAAAUUCAAAAAAAAAAAAAGAAAAUUAGAUACCUAAUACACCUUACACAUACUUACGUUUCUAAUUGUGAAGCAAUAACAAAUGUUUUUUAUCAAUUUUGCAGAAUAAUUAUUUAAGAAUCUCUGCAAAAAAAAAGGUUAAUAAAGCAUACAAAAAAUAUAUUAAAUAAAACCAACAAUUAAAGCUACACCAUUGAUGAGUACCUUUAGUUCAUUGCAGUUUUAGACUUUUAGUUUUCUCCCAACCUAAUUGUAGCUUUAGUUUCUACUCCUUUUUGGCAUUGAAAGAGGCUUCUACUGUCCUUGCUUAGUUGCUUUCUUGUUGGAUACAAAGUUGUUUCCAGUGAUUAGGCCAUAACCUUUUUCAUCAAUGGGUGAGCACUUUGCAAAAUAAUUCUGAUGAGAGAACACACUCAAUAGUAAAUCAGAAGUUGUUGAAGCUAAGGAUGGAACUAUUUCAGUUGCCACCACAUUUGCAGGCCACCAGGAAGUUUGACUGCACACUUCCUCCUGUGGUCCAAUGUUGGUGGCAGUAUGCAGAUAAUAGUUUGCAAAGAUGUAAUAGUAUGGGGAUUGAAUAAGAAGUUAAAUUUUAGAAUGUUUUAAAUUUUCAAUUGUAUAUUCAUAAAUGAAUUCUCUUCAUGAAAUGUGUAUAUGUUUUUCAACAA